CACGUAGGGGGCGAAGCGUUGUCCGGAUUUAUUGGGCGUAAAGAGCUCGUAGGCGGUUCGGUAAGUUGGGUGUGAAACCUCCAGGCUCAACCUGGAGACGCCACCCGAUACUGCUGUGACUAGAGUCCGGUAGGGGAGCGUGGAAUUCCUGGAUGUAGCGGUGAAAUGCGCAGAUAUCAGGAGGAACACCCGGUGGCGAAGGCGGGUCUCUGGGCCGAUACUGACGCUGAGGAGCGAAAGCGUGGGGAGCGAA
rnacentral:rRNA from 1 species